GAUCAUGGCUCAGGAUGAACGCUAGCGGCAGGCUUAACACAUGCAAGUCGAGGGGCAGCGGGGAGUAGCAAUACUCCGCCGGCGACCGGCGCACGGGUGCGUAACGCGUAUGCAACCUACCUUUAACAGGGGCAUAACACUGAGAAAUUGGUACUAAUUCCCCAUAACAUUCGAGAAGGCAUCUUCUUGGGUUAAAACUCCGGUGGUUAAGAUGGGCAUGCGUUGUNUUAGCUAGUUGGUGAGGUAACGG
rnacentral:rRNA from 1 species